rnacentral:ncRNA from 2 species
AAAGUUUUCUUUACAACAAAUUUUGCUAAUGAUAAUAUUUAUAUCAACAAACAGGGAAACACGGUGAAAAUCCGUGACUGUGCCGCAACUGUAGUAAGGGGGAUGCCGCAAGAAGCAUUCUUGGAAAAUCCUUCCUUAAGUCAGAAUACCUCUUUGUUACAAGUUACUAGC